GUAUUAUCCAGGUGGGCCCAAUUACAUGAUUCCUUAAAAGCAGAGAAGCUCUCCCAGCUGUGAUCAGAGGGAGACGUGACUAACACAGAGGGGUCAGAGAGACGCAGUGUUACUGUCUUUGAGGAUGGGGGAAGGGGGCCAUGAGCUAAGGAGGAAUCACCUGCUUGCAUGGAAGUAGGAAUAGCUGAAUUGGGUGGCCUGGACUGCAGAGAAGCGAAGCACUUUGUCAGGCAGGUGGGAAGCAGGCUGGGGCUUCUCUGUCUCCUUUAUGUUUCUGAGCAGCAAAUGUUGAAAGACACACGAAACUUUCUAGAUAAGGAAACUGAACCUCAGAGCACUUAAGUGACUUGAAGGAAGAGAUGAAAGCAGAUUUUCCUAAUCUCUUAACCAUUAUACUAUAUUAAGGUGUGUACACAAACACGCAGCAUAUAAUUUAAAAAACUGUCAAAGUUGGAGACAAGAUGGCAGGUAGAAGACUUGAGUUCACCUUCUCUCAUGAUACCACCAAAAUCACAACCGACUGCUUAACAACCACUGACGAAAAAAGAUUCAAACCUACCAAAAAAGACAUUCUACCCCAAAAGAGCCACAAGAUGGUAGGGGGGUAUUUUUGUGAUAUAUUCAAAUCCCAUAUUUGCCAAGUGGGUGAUCUACAAACUGUAAAAUGAUUAUAUUGCUGAGGAUCUCCCACAGGAGUGAGAGUUCUGAGCCCCAUGUCAGGCUCCCCAGCCUAGAGGUCUGGCACUGGAAGGAGGAGCCCCAGGAGCACUUGGCUUUGAAAUAGGCAAGGCUUGAGUGCAGAAGCUCCACAGGACUGAGGGAAACAGAGAUUCUACUCUUAGAGGGCUCACACAAGCUUUCACUCUGGGACCCAGGGCAAAGCAAUGACCCUAUAGAAGCCUGAGCCAGACCUACCUGUGAGUCUUCUAAUGAGGCAGCAGUCAGCUGUGGUUUACUGCGCAGACAGGGACACUGGAGGCAGAUGCGCCGGGGAAUGCUCAUCUGCAUGAAUUCUCCUGGAGGCUGCCAUUUUGGCACCGAGAUCUGGUCCCACCCAACAGCCUGCAGGAAGGUUGGAACACAGCCCCACCCAUCAGCAGACAGGCUGCCUGAAGUCAUCCUGAGCCAACAGCUGCCAAUAAACACACCCCUUAACAUGGCCCUGUCCAUCAGAGUGACAAGACCCCGUUCCACCCACCAGUGGACAGGCACCAGUCCCUCCCACCAGGAAGCUCACACAAGCCCCUGGACCAAAUUCACCCAUAAGAGGGCAGACUCCAGAACUAAAAAGAAUGACAAUUCUGUAGCAUGAGGAAUGGAGACCACAAACACAGAAAGUUAGGCAAAAUGAGACAGUAGAGAAAUAUGUUCUAGAUGAAGGAACAAGAUAAAACCCCAGACGAACAACUAAGUGAAGUGGAAACAGGCAAUCUACCUGAAAAAGAAUUCAGAGUCUUGACAGUAAAGAUCACCCAAGAUCUCAGAAAAAGAAGGGCGGCACAGACCAAGAGGAUACAAGAAAUGUUUAGUGAAGAGCGAGAAGAUUUAAAGAACAAACAAACAGAGAUGAACAAUACAAUAACUGAAAUGAAAAUUACACUGGAAGGAAUCAAUAACAGAAUAAAUGAGCAGAAGAAUGAAUAAGUCUGCUGGUAGAUCAGUGGAAAUCACGGCAGGGGAACAAAAUAACAAAAAAAGAAUGAAAAAAAGUGAGGACAAUCUAAGAGAUGUCUGGGACAACAUUAAAUACAGCAAUAUUCACAUUAUGGGGGCCCCAGAAGGAGAAGAGAAAGAGAAAGCGCCUGAGAAAAUAUUUGAAAAAAGAUAAUAGUCAAAAACUUCCCUAACAUGGGAAAGGAAAUAGUCACUGAAGUCCAGGAAGCCCUGAGAGUUCCAUACAGGAUAAACCCAAGGAGGAAUAUACUGAGACACAUAUUAAUCAAAUUGACCGAAGUUAAAGACAAAGAUAAAACAUUAAAAGCAAAAAAUAAUAUACAAAGUAAUCUCCAUAAGGUUAUCAGCUGAUUUCCCAGCAGAAAUUCUGCAGGCCAGAAGGGUGUGGCUGGAUAUAUUUAAAGUGAUGAAAGGGAAAAACCUACAGUCAAGAAUACUCUACCUAUCAAGACUCUUGUACAGAUUUGACAGAGAAAAUAAAAAACUUUACAAAUAAGCAAAAGCCCCCAGCACCAUCAAACCAGCUUCACAAGAAAUGCUGAAGAAACUUCUCUAAAAACCUUGCUGAUAUCAAGAGUUUAUAAAGACAUGGAGCAAGAGGAUGUGGCAUGCAGUGCAGCACAGCAGAAAUCAGUGCAUGACCUAUUAAAACUGACCAGUCAAUUCUAUUCCUACACACUUAUGGACACUAGCAAAAUUCUUGCACAUGUACACCAGGAGAUGAGAAUACAG
ensembl:lncRNA